rnacentral:rRNA from 1 species
UACAGAGGGUGCGAGCGUUAAUCGGAAUUACUGGGCGUAAAGCGCACGUAGGUGGCGACGUAAGUCGGGUGUGAAAGCCCCGGGCUCAACCUGGGAAUUGCAUUCGAGACUGCAUUGCUGGAGUACGGAAGAGGAGGGCGGAAUUUACGGUGUAGCAGUGAAAUGCGUAGAUAUCGUAAGGAAGACCAGUGGCGAAGGCGGAUCUCUGGACAGCUACUGACACUGAGGCACGAAGGCCAGGGGAGCAAACGGG